GCCAGGUGACUGCGUGGCUAUUUUUGGACCUCGGGCAUUGCUGCGAUCAUCUACAGGGUAAUCUAGUUACCCUAGAGGUAUUUCUCUAAUCCUCAAGUUUUAGAUUUAAUUUUAGAUUAAAUAUCAAAUAAUAAAAAUCAGAUCUAAUAGAUCUUAGAUUUAAAAUAAAGUAGGAUAUAUUUUUUUUAAAAUAUUUCACCCC
rnacentral:lncRNA from 1 species